UACAGAGGUCUCAAGCGUUGUUCGGAUUCAUUGGGCGUAAAGGGUGCGUAGGCGGCGCGGUAAGUCGGGUGUGAAAUCUCGGAGCUUAACUCCGAAACUGCAUUCGAUACUGCCGUGCUUGAGGACUGGAGAGGAGACUGGAAUUUACGGUGUAGCGGUGAAAUGCGCAGAUAUCAGGAGGAACACCGGUGGCGAAGGCGCCACUCUGGGCCGGUACUGACGCUGAGGAGCGAAAGCGUGGGUAGCAAACAGG
rnacentral:rRNA from 1 species